ACAAUGUAAAAAUAAUAAAUAUAAUAAUAACAAUAAAAAAACAGGUUUUAGCGGUGAAUUUGUUACUGUCAAUUUUUUUUU
rnacentral:ribozyme from 1 species